GCCGAUGUGGCUCAGGGGUAGAGCAGCUCAUUCGUAAUGAGCAGGCCGUGGGUUCGAAUCCCACCAUCGGCU
rnacentral:tRNA from 2 species